UACGUAGGGUGCAGGCGUUAAUCGGAAUUACUGGGCGUAAAUCGUGCGCAGGCGGUUUGCUAAGACAGGUGUGAAAUCCCCGGGCUUAACCUGGGAACUGCGCUUGUAACUGGCAAGCUAGAGUGUGGCAGAGGGGGGUGGAAUUCCACGUGUAGCAGUGAAAUGCGUAGAGAUGUGGAGGAACACCGAUGGCGAAGGCAGCCCCCUGGGCUAACACUGACGCUCAUGCACGAAAGCGUGGGGAGCAAACAGG
rnacentral:rRNA from 1 species